rnacentral:rRNA from 1 species
UACGAGGGGUGCAAGCGUUGCUCGGAAUUAUUGGGCGUAAAGGGUAGGUAGGUGGUCUCAUUUGUCUGGGGUGAAAGCCUUGAGCUUAACUCAAGAAGUGCCCUAGAAACGGUGAGACUGGAGUCUUGGAGAGGGUCGUGGAAUUUCCGGUGUAGCGGUGAAAUGCGUAGAGAUCCGGAAGAACACCAGUGGCGAAGGCGGCCCGCUGGGCAGUGGCUGACGCUGAGGCGCGACAGCGUGGGGAGCAAACAGG